AUAACCACACGCGCAACUAUGUCUACAGCGGAGGAUCAUGGGAAAAAACUCUGUUUGUUCAUCCUGAUCAUCCUCGUCCUAUGCUGUGUGUUCAAUCAACGAUAGAAGGACAGGGAGGAGCUGGGGAAUGAGCUGACGAGGGGCAGGAUUGAAGGAUGAGGUUCAUGAGGAGUUCAUCUUUGCUAGAAACUUGAUCGUUUAAGCUGGAUUUGUACUGCUAUUUUAGUUGCUCCCACUUAUGUAGCUGGCUUGGUUACUGGCCUACUGCUUUGGGGUGCAUUGCAAAAGUACCCUGCUCUUUGCCUGCUCUGGCCGUUCAUACGCUAUUCCAGGGUUGAUGGUAACGAGCACAUCACAAAUCUUCUGUGACACUACUAAAACAUGCAAUUCAAUGGUGGUUAGUAAUGCAACAUUAUUGCAUUAAUUA